rnacentral:rRNA from 1 species
AUUGAACGCUGGCGGCAGGCCUAACACAUGCAAGUCGAAUGGUAACAGGAAACAGCUUGCUGUUUCGCUGACGAGUGGCGGACGGGUGAGUAAUGUCUGGGAAACUGCCUGAUGGAGGGGGAUAACUACUGGAAACGGUAGCUAAUACCGCAUAACGUCGCAAGACCAAAGAGGGGGACCUUCGGGCCUCUUGCCACCAGAUGUGCCCAGAUGGGAUUAGCUAGUAGGUGGGGUAACGGCUCACCUAGGCGACGAUCCCUAGCUGGUCUGAGAGGAUGACCAGCCACACUGGAACUGAGACACGGUCCAGACUCCUACGGGAGGCAGCAGUGGGGAAUAUUGCACAAUGGGCGCAAGCCUGAUGCAGCCAUGCCGCGUGUAUGAAGAAGGCCUUCGGGUUGUAAAGUACUUUCAGCGGGGAGGAAGGGAGUAAAGUUAAUACCUUUGCUCAUUGACGUUACCCGCAGAAGAAGCACCGGCUAACUCCGUG